rnacentral:lncRNA from 1 species
CAGGCGGGUCUCCAGCCCUCCAGUGCAUUCUCCCUCCCCCUUUCAGGGUUCUCCAGCUCUUGGACAGAGUGCCUACAAGAGGCAAGGCAGCUGUGUGCACAACCAUCUCAGCUCAGGGAUACACAGCUCUGUGGAGCUGCCAGGUGGGCAGCAGGACAGCGGCUUUGUGACACUCACCUACUAUCCAUGAAUAGUGGCUAGGAAGACUUUGCCGUCUUUUCCAUCCAUUCCUGAGCACUGUGGAAAAGUUGAGAUGGAUGUUCCAGGGUUCCAAUGCACCUCUCUCACCUGCCAGUGCAAGCCCCUGUUUCUUUCUGUGCCUUCUGUGAAGGGAGAGGGGGAGCCAUCCCAUCUCGAGAGCUUGUUGUAAAGGAUUUCAAAAGGCAAUUCAAGAGAUUAGAAAACCAGGUCAGUGAGAUGGCUGAGGUAAGGGCAAUCACUCUCAACUGUGACUACCCGGGUUCGAUCCUUGGAACAAAUGAUGAAGGAAGAGAAACAGCCCCGAGCUCCACACAUGUGCCCUCCACAAAUGGCCAGGCACAGCCACUCUACGGAGGGCAGGAACUCAGGAGGAGGCCUAGCUCUGAUGGAACCAGGACCCUGAGAGCCUCAGGGAGGCUGAGAUGACUCCAAGGAGAGCGGGGCUCAGGGGACAGUCACAGGAUGAGGGGGCUUGGAGUCGAGAAGAGGACACGGAUGGGCCAGGCCAGGGCUGGGAUGGAGUUGCAACACCUUCCGGUUCGUUCUGCCCAGGAAGAGGGUGGGAUAGAGCAGCGCGAUCUGGCUUGUUGCUGGGAGACACCGUCACUAAAGGUCCACAAUUAUAAUUGCAACUGUUCUUGUUUCUUUUAAAAAUUAAAUUAAAAAGCCCACAAGAAUCUCGCGCUUGUCAGAGUCUUCCUCCCCCGCUGUCCGUUCCUAUUGCGAAUCCGUGGCAUCUGCUAGGAGUUAAUUGCACGCCGUGUAAAGGAUGCAAACCUUCCUUUAACGGAUUUUCCUUCUGGAUGAGGGCUAACCCCUCUACCCCCCUCGGCUCCUUCCCCGCCCCCUCCCAUCCCCCAGCGGAGAAAAGAGGGACUUGCCUGACCUCCUCCACCCAGCCCUCUGCUUCUUGGAGCCUGCCUCUUCCUGCUGG